GCGAGUCCGAUCAAGACAUUUGUGGUACUUUUUCUACUCGGCUUCGCCAGGUGCCUGGUCAAUGCCCAAGACCCAUACGGUGCGUGGAGGAGAGAAGCGAUGGCAAUGAGAAACAGAGGCCAUCACGUUGGGGUGGAGCAAGUGUAUGACCAUCUCGUUCAGGUGGAAAGAGCGGAUGACCAUUCCGUGACGUCAUAGACGUUGCGCGCGUAAUUCAGACGCAACUAAAAUAAAUCUC